GAAACCUAAACCCUCUUGAAGGACUUUGCAAUAGGACACGGAUGAUAUUAACACAAUUGCCAUCAAGAAUCAUUGAGGCGCAAAUAAUGGCGGGGAAGUUUAUUGGCAGGCAGCCUACAUAACACAAAGAGGAUGGAAAUCAAGCGUGUACGGGAUAUCAGGCCUAUGGAAAAGCAACAACUUAUAGGAAUCAGGGUUGUUAAGAAAUGGAUUGUGAUUGCUAAGCCAACAAUGAACAAGAAGGGGCGAUGGUAUGGAAGCCACCGGUGACACACUUGAAAUUGAGUACUUUGACUCAAUAAUUCGCCUUAACUCAUGUUAAAAGAUUUUAUUGGUCGUGUCGAGAAGAACUAUCCAUUUACUACCAGUAAGAACGUAAUCCUAACAAAGGUGGUCCUACGCGACUAGCGGAUGAACAGGGUAGAGAUAACUCUUUGGCUAGAGAAAAGAUAUAUAAUCAGGACAGAUGUCGGACCGGGCAACAUUGUGGCAAUCACAUCAACACAAGUUUCAAAAUACUCAAUGAUGCAACUUGAGUCCACCCACCUGACAGAAGUUGCUAUAAACCCUGAUACGCCACAUACUGCAGAAUAUGUUGCCAGGCUGAAAGCACUGCCGCCAGUUCAGCCAGAAGACUUAGAAGAUCCAAUGCUUACUCUUCUGGAUUUAACCUCACCACAAAGAGCAUAAGAGCAGGUUAUCACAUCAAAUUACACAAUAAUUAUUUAUCUUACCAAGAUAAUUAUGAUGUUAGGUCAUUCCAAUAGCAAAUUAUAACCACCAUAAUGCAGAAUUCUACAUGGUUCAGGUGCCAUGCGUGAAUUAAAAAAAAAAAAUUCAUGAAAAUCGUAGCUGGUUCUACAUUCACUGCUGAAAAUGCAACAAGAAAGUCUACCUAGAGUAAGAUGGUUCCUUAAACUACGUCUGUAAAGAUGACGAUGAUAUUUCACCAAAAUUCCUGUAAGCUUUUAGCUGACUUAGUAAUGAUAAAUUUAUACAUGCACUAAACCAUUGCUAAAUACUUAAGCACGUCUAACAAAUCAGGUUCUCCCUUAACGCAAUUAUCAACGACUCAACAAAACCAAUUGAUGUCACAUUCUUUGAUGAAGGGAUGGUCGCCCUGCUGAAAUGAUGACGAACAAUGGCUACACAGAUCCUAAAAUGCUUCCAAAGGAAAUCCAUGACAUGAUUGGAAAACCAAAAAUAAUGCACAUAUCCGUUAGAGGGAAACAAUAUGCCGCCGCCAGUGUUUCGGAUCCUCCUGUUGUGCAUACAUCAACUGACAACAUUCAGCAACAACACAUGGGCGCUCCUCCACCAAAAACACCCAACCCCAAGCUUAACCAACAAAAGCGCCCUCUAGACGAAUCGCCAGGCAAACAUAACAAACUCAACACCACUUAUUGCUUAAGAAGUCUAUUAAUUUUGGGCUUUUUGUAGCCCAGUAAUCUCGCUGAACAUACAGACGUUUUGGGCUCUCUUUAGCCCAUGGGUUGUAUAAGAAGUUUAUCAGUCCUGGCAUUUUGUUAGCCCAUAGAUUGUCUAGAAAGUUUGUUGUUUUUGGGCUCUCUUUUACCCAAUGACUUUGCUGAACAUACCAAGUGACUGCAGUAAAGAGUGAAUCAUUAUCACUAGUGUU